GGAAGCUCACCUGGAGGGUCCAGGGCUCAGGGAACCUUUGUUCAGGGCUCUCAAAACACCUGGCUUUGAGGCUUACAGGGAACAGGGAACCCAGCUUCAGUGUGCAAGGGGCCCCGCUCCUGCCUCUGCGGGAGCCCACCCUGCAAGAGAAGAGGCCCUCACUCCCCCUUGCAGUGUGUGGGUCCUGGGUGAGGUCUCUGCCUCCUCCUGCCUUCACACCUCUGCCCCAUUUCUUGCCUACCUCUCCCUCCCCUCCUGCAUACUGAGCUCUUGGACAAUUGGGCUCUUCCUGGCCCUCCGGGGCCUGCAGCCUGGGGCUCCUCGGCUGUGACCCCCCAGGAAUGACCCAGGCUAACCUUGGCCUCAGUCCCCGAUGAGGGGGCAGGAGCUUCUACAUGCAGCCUGCUCAUUGUUCGUUUCCAAGUGUGCUUUCUCAUUUCCAUGUUCUCUCUUGAUGUGUGAGUGAUUUAGAUUUAUUUCUUUGAUUUCUAGAUUUAAAUUAUUGCCGGUUUCUGGCUUACUUGUGCUGUUGCCAGAAGCCCCGGUUCAAGCUGUUCUUGGUGAGGUUCUCUGGUGCUUGCUGGGGCUGGCCGGAGGGCUGACUCUGGCUCCGUCCCCACAGUGCAGGUGCCCUGGUGGGACACGCAGCCCUGAUGCUGCCGGAAGUGCUCCUCCGUGGCCGCGAGGUCAGCAACUCCUGCAGGCCUUAGUCAUUCUCUUGAUCUUCAGUUAUCGAGGUGUGUGCGUGUGUGUGCACGUGCACGCCUGUGUACGCAAACAGUGGUGUCAGUUUCUUGUAUCCGUUUAUCCAUCUUAGAUGUUUAGGGCUGUACUAUCACAUGGGCACAUACUUAGAUAACACGAAAGCUUGGCUUUAUAAGUAUGAGGCAGGUUUCACUUCUAGAUAUACACAGAGAAUCCUCUAUCUUCCACGAAUACCCUGAGUCUCCGUCCUCCUGCCUUGUGAACACGCAGUGCUCAGUGGAAUCGCUUGGUCUAUCCUUUCCAUUCUUUUCCCUUGAAACUUCAUGGGCUUUGCCUCCCAGGUGCCCCUGGCGCAGUGGUGGGUGGUGGGUUUGGUCUUUGUCUUCCCGGUGUCUGCGUUCGCACUCAGCACCACAGCGCCCCCUCUCUGCGGUUCCCAGUCAGCACCACAGCGCCCCCCCCUGCGUUCGCACUCAGCACCACAGCGCCCCCUCUCUGCGGUUCCCAGUCAGCACCACAGCGCCCCCUCUCGGGGGUGUUCUCCUGCCUGCCUUUGCUCUUCUCCCACCUUCUUCUGGAUUGCUCUAUCACG
rnacentral:lncRNA from 1 species